GUUAUUAUCAGAUGUCUGUGUCAUUUCCCCCUUCCACACUACAGAUCACAUGAGAAAGGCAAUGUGGAACCUGGCAGGGCUCAGCUUCUGCAUCAGAUGAUGCUGCAGUUAGGUCCCAGUUUUGUCACUAACUACAGUGUGACUUUGGGCAACUACUUAUUUUCUAUGUAAAUGAGAACAAUAACAGCAUCUUGAUGCUGCUGCUGUGAGGACACCCGGGUGAUGUUUACGAGGGAUAACGUCCACUGCCUGGCUCCUAGUAAGAACUCAAUCUUCAGAAAGAACCAGAGAUAAGGACAACAGCCUCUUGGAGCUAUACUAGACUGAGGGGAAAGAUUCGCCCUGAGCUAACAUCUGUUGCCACUCUUCCUCUUUUUUCCCCCCUCCCCAAAGCACCAGUGCAUGGUUGUAUAUCCUAGUUGUAAGUAGUUCUAGUUCUUCUGUGUGAGCCGCCACCACAGUAUGGCAACCGACAGG
rnacentral:lncRNA from 1 species